AGAUUGAACGCUGGCGGCAUGCCUUACACAUGCAAGUCGAACGGCAGCACGGGAGCAAUCCUGGUGGCGAGUGGCGAACGGGUGAGUAAUACAUCGGAACGUGCCCAAUCGUGGGGGAUAACGCAGCGAAAGCUGUGCUAAUACCGCAUAAGAUCUACGGACGAAAGCAGGGGAUCGCAAGACCUUGCGCGAAUGGAGCGGCCGAUGGCAGAUUAGGUAGUUGGUGAGGUAAAGGCUCACCAAGCCUUCGAUCUGUAGCUGGUCUGAGAGGACGACCAGCCACACUGGGACUGAGACACGGCCCAGACUCCUACGGAGCAGCAGUGGGGAAUUUGGACAAUGGCGAAAGCCUGAUCCAGCCAUGCCGCGUGCAGGAUGAAGGCCUUACGGGUUCGUAAACGU
rnacentral:rRNA from 1 species